rnacentral:tRNA from 1 species
UGAUAAUUAGUUUAACUAAAACAAGUGAUUUCGACUCACUAAAUUGUAAUUCUUAUUACAAUUAUCAA